GGGUGCGAUCAUACCAACACUAAUGCACCGGAUCCCAUCAGAACUCCGAAGUGAAGCGUGCUUCGGCGAGAGUAGUACUAGGAUGGGUGACCUCCUGGGAAGUCCUCGUGUUGCACUCC
rnacentral:rRNA from 1 species